GCAGGCGAGCGGACCGUCGAGGAAGCUGGCGUCGGAGGUUGUGGAGAGGCGAAGGGAUGCCGGACGGACAGGGGUGUUGAGGGCAGGGGGCCCCUGGCACUGCGGACGUCGGGGUGGGGACGCAGAGCCUGCGGAGAGCCUUGCUUUGCAGGUCAAGUAUCUCGAAGAGCCAUCAUCCUCAUGGAGGCUCCCCUGCCCCGGAGGGGCACUCUACUGGUCCAGCCACGUGUAGUGGUAUCUGUGGUAGUGACGACACUCCAAGGAAUGUUUGGCAAGCAUCGGUUACAGAAUGUUCACAGAGGGAUUCUAGGGUUCUGGAGCACGGCCAUCCCUUCUGCGGCAGAAUCCCUCACUCCUGGGAUGAAUCGCGGCUGAACCCUAGUCAAUCCUGAAUGCCUCUGAAUGUGAGACAUCAAGGGGCCACACAGCCAGAAAUGCCCAUCAUGCUCUGGGUGCAGUUAGACUCUCGGGGGAUCGGGUCCCGUAUUGGAUGGGUGUGGCAGCCACUACUUGUACCUUGGAAGAGGCACGUUGAGGAAUCGAGCUGAGAAGGUCCAGAACACCCAGGAAUGCUGUUCACUCCGUCUGCCUGUAUGUCAGACGCUGGUUUACCAGGAAGAUGAAGUUGCUGUGCGGAGUGGUUUUCCCAGGAGGUGGGUCCCCAGAGUAGCACAGUCCAUCCACAGUGGUUUGGGCGGUAACACACUACCGUAAUAUGGAGAUGGCUGUGAAAUAAAUAUUCCAGAAUCUAAAUUCGCUUUGGUCACUAAGGACAGGAUGCCCCAAAGGUGGGACGAUUGCUGACAGAGCAGACGAGGGCGCAUGAUGCCCAUUUUAGAUGCGGCUGAGCUCAGGACACUCCUUGGGAAGGGGAAGAAGGAAGUCAGCUAGGUCCCUGGAACGAAGUCCCGACGCUCCGGGGGGCAGGCGGCUCACCCAGGGACACCAGGUUGCUGUAGUUCUCCAGCAUCACGUCCCAGUACAGGUCCCUCUGCGAGGAGUCCAGGCACGCCCACUCCUCCUGCGAGAAGUCGAUGGCUACAUCUGAGAACGUCACCAGACCCUGAGAACACAAACCCACACAUCCCUGAUGAGAUGAGGGAGCACAGGCUCAAGACAGACCAGAAAGGGCUCUGUGCUGGGUCGGGCUGGACACGGACAGGACGCGGUGGGGGCUGUGACCGCAGCAGGGCCGGGCGGCUGAAGAGAAAACCCCACGGCCUGUGGGAUGCCUCGUUACUCCAACCUGUCAAUCCUGGGGCUCCUCCUGAGUGCCUGCCCCAUAACACCUCAGCAACUGUGGAUUCCUGGGGCACCCUUUCCAUCCUCCAAGGGAAGGAAAAUGCCUAGGGUUUUGUCUCCAAAAUGUGAGCUCUUUUACCUUCGAAACUAGGGCUCAUGUGUCGGAAUGUUCUCAAGCCUCAUGCUCAUUAUUUGCUAAGACUUUAAGCAGUCUUCCUACGUAAUGAGCAGCAUUUUCUUAUUCCCUCGUGGGAACAGAUUAAAUUUACUACAGCUGUACACCUAGGUAUAACCAGACAUCCGGGGUUUUCCCCAAUUCUGGGAGUAGAUGAUCAUCCAGGACUUCUGUACUGGGUGACCUUCUUACCCGUCGCCACCCACCACCCCCGCCUUUUCCCCGUUCCUGACUUAGGAUACUGGUGCAGAUUCAUGUGGAUGGGAGUGUGGGUCUGGCAGGUUUCCUCAACAACACAAUGCAUCUCCUGGGUCCCCUGGUAACACCACGGCCUCUCAGUCCCUAAGCACAGCCCUAUCCGACCCCAAAAGCCUCCUGGAGCUCGAGCUCUCACCGCACACGGACACUGACCAGACAACGUGAACGUUCCCUUUUCUCGGCCUGAAAAAAGACCAGUGGAGAACGAGGAGAAUUUUAGUUUUUGCAUGUGGUCACAUGGGACCACCACCUCCAACUCCUCAAACCACAGACGUGGCCCAAGUAUUUCUCUCAAGGGACUUUCCUCCUCCGCUGCUCCCCCGUUACUCCUGACAAAAACGUGAGCACACAGGAGACAGUGAAAUCACUGGCUUGGGGGUGAAGUGACCAUUAGCCAUGCGGGGGCACAGGGCUGUAUGGCAUUGUCGUUCACCAGAACGGAAGACCCGAGGUGGUGGUCGGGGGGCAAUUACAGGGGCCUCAGUCGGGCAGGAGGCUUCAGGAUAACUCAUAAAAAUAUCCACAGGACCUAAACAUCACAUUUCAAGAAGGAGAGAGAAAAACAUACUUACGUGGGCCAUAGUUUUAGAAUCAAGAACUGAUCAGUCCUCUUGGGGUUUCUUUUACCAAAGACACAAAAUCCAGAGAAGCCAGAGAUAUACGAGAAAAAAAGAGGCAUUAAAACAAGUGCACCUUGGUCCCCAAAUGCCGACAUACAACCUUCCUGCUCCUCUGUCUUUGUUUCCAAGCCCCGCCCCCGCAUUCCUCUCCCACAAUAUGCACGUAUCAACAUGACACGUCCGGAGAGGACACAGAGGAGUCUGCCCAAAAAGGGAAAUCACUCUCCCCGAGACCCCCGGAAACCCAGCUGCACACGAACAUUAGAGCGGCCUGUAGUUAGGGUUUUGCCUUGAAGUCAGACCUACUCUUAGCUGUCAUUUCUCAAGAUAACUUUUACUUUUUAAAUUUUUAUUUUUUUAAGUAAUCUCUACCCACAGCGUGGGUAUGAACUCAACGACCCCCAGAUCAAGAGUCGCACGCUCCAAUGACUGAGACAGCCAGGCGGCCCUCAACAUCGUUUUCUCAACUGCAGCGCUCGGACAGUGUUGUGUUAGUGUCAGGAAUACGCAAGUCUGUAUCUCACGCUGUGCACACAAGUGUAGCGGCCCUGUUACACUCGUUACAAUGCCGCUGACUGCUGUCCCUCUCAUCCUUGUGACUCUCUCCAGGGCUGGA